ACACAGCAUGUCAAAGAAUGACUACGCUCUGGUUUUACACAUCCGUAUUUUUAAACAGCACAAAAUGGUUGUACUUCUCAAUAUCGAAAUCUGACUGGGGCCUCUCCUGCUUGACCUUGCCCUGGAGGCUGCUGUCCUUCCAUGGGUGGGUGCCCAGGCUGAGCUUGCACGGGCUCCUUCAUGUCCCCCUUGGUCAACCUAGGUGAAGAGGGGAAGAAUCCAGCUCCCACCAUGCACCUUAUUGACAGAAGCCUUCCUCAGAUGAAUAUUCAUGAGCAGCCUAAGUUUCUUUGGCUUUUCUGUUUACUAGUUUUAUUAGCUCUUGAGAGGGGAGAGAGAGAGAGAGAGAGAGAGAGACUGGGGGAGACAGAGAAAGAAGCUGGGUGCGGUGGCUCAUGCCUAUAAUCUCAGCACUUUGGGAGGCUGAGGCAGGAGGACUGCUUGAGCCCAGGAGUUCAAGACCAGCUGAGCAACAUAGCAAGAUCCCAUCUCCAUAAAAAAAGAAAAAUAAAAAUUGAAGAGAGAGAGAGAGAGAGAGAACUUUCCAUAAUUAAUAGAGAUAAGGUGAUAGGAUGCUAGAGAGGAAAAUUUGGAAUUAGCUUUUAAAAGGAAGAGAAAUGACGGUGUAACCAUCUGCCAAAUACAUGGAAACAACAACAACAAAAACCUCAUCAUUCACCUGGCCUGGCAAAUAGGGGUCCUUUCCAACCAAGAACCUAUGGGGUCUAGUCUUCCCCUACACUGCCUUUCACUCACCACUGGGCUGCCUGCUUUAAGCUAGGAAUCAAGAGACAGUGGCCUUCCACAGGUGCCUCGACAGGUGCCUCAGCUUCCAAACAGACACAGGAAGGACCCCAGCAUG
rnacentral:lncRNA from 1 species